rnacentral:rRNA from 1 species
AGAGUUUGAUCCUGGCUCAGAUUGAACGCUGGCGGCAUGCUUUACACAUGCAAGUCGAACGGCAGCGGGGGCUUCGGCCUGCCGGCGAGUGGCGAACGGGUGAGUAAUGCAUCGGAACGUGCCCAGUCAUGGGGGAUAACUACGCGAAAGCGUAGCUAAUACCGCAUACGCCCUGAGGGGGAAAGCGGGGGAUCGCAAGACCUCGCGUGAUUGGAGCGGCCGAUGUCGGAUUAGCUAGUUGGUGGGGUAAAGGCCUACCAAGGCGACGAUCCGUAGCGGGUCUGAGAGGAUGAUCCGCCACACUGGGACUGAGACACGGCCCAGACUCCUACGGGAGGCAGCAGUGGGGAAUUUUGGACAAUGGGGGCAACCCUGAUCCAGCCAUGCCGCGUGAGUGAAGAAGGCCUUCGGGUUGUAAAGCUCUUUCAGACGGAAAGAAAUCGGGUGGGUGAAUAUCCUGCCUGGAUGACGGUACUGUCAGAAGAAGCACCGGCUAACUUCGUGCCAGCAGCCGCGGUAA